rnacentral:lncRNA from 1 species
AGUUAUGUGACAAUCAGAAAACAUGUAGUGUGAGUUUCUGUCCCAGGCAAAUCCACGCACCAUUUAAGACUGUUUGACUUGGUAACAGAGUCAGUGGCCAGCUCCUUCCUGUAAGGGAAGAGAUGAAUAAAACAGGAAGUGGGAGGGAGAAGACAGUCCAGAGCAUUUGUGAAGGGAAGGAUGGGGACACAGAACAGGAUCUCCAUGAGUGGUAAUAGCCAGCUUAACCCCCACAGGCAGCUGGCCAUGCUGUGUGAGUGUGCACGUGUGUGUGCAUAUGUGUGUUGGUGUAUAUAUAUGUGUGUGUGUGUGUCUGUGCAGGCAUACAUGUGCUUACAUAUGCAUGUGUGUCUUAUGUAAAGCAUGUAGAAGUAUGUGUACAUUUACUUUUUUACAGUUUUUUUCUAAAAACACUCCCUUUCUGUAUUGGAUAAGCUAAUUCCUAAGAGAUCUUUUUUGAUUGGCAACAUCUCUGAUAAGAGAUGACAUAAGAUGAGAGUUGCUUACAUGUAUGCAGAGUAAAACAAACUGGGACAGAAAGAGAGGCAGGCAGGGGGUCAAGGGUUUCUCACCUCUUGUGGGACCCAGGCUGGGUCUUCUGGCUGGGGUGGGUGGUGGUCUGGAGGGUGAGGGACAACUCAGGUGUCUCUGGUGCCCCGAGCUGCACAAAGUCGAAGACAGCAUCUUUUCCCGGAGACCCCUGAGCUUGGCUGGUGCUCACCCUGGUUUCCCAUUUCUCCCCUCAUUGCAAUAUUCUUAUGUUUCUGCAGACAGGCCUCCCGCCGGAAAAAAACCCCAGCAGCCUCCUGUGCCUCCCCAGAGACCAAUGGCUGCCCUUCCUCCACUGCCUACCGGCCGCAAUUACUCACCACUGCCCCCACCCCAGCCCAACCAAGAAGAGUCCAACAGAAGUCGAAACCACAAACCAGCAAAGUUGCCGGCUCCGUCUAUAGAUAGAAGAACAAAACCUCCCCUAGAUCGUUCUUUAGCCCCGCUGGACAGAGAGCCCUUCACAAUAGGAAAGAAACCAACAUUUUCUGACAAGCCCUCAGCUCCAGUGGGAAGGACUCCCGGGGACCAUUUACCCAAGAUACAAAAGCUUCCUUUACCACCAACCACCGACAGACAUGAAAGAAGUAGCCCCCUGCCAGGGAAGAAGCCACCUGUACCAAAGUAA